UAGCACACAGUCUCAACAGUGAAUUUCUUAGGGAGGUCAAGAAGGUAGAGAACUCCAUUUCAUCAUGUUCUGGAUGGUGACAUCCCUAUGCUUUAGUAGAAAAGAACACAUCAGUUACUUCUUGAGGGUAAGUUUUAUGAGCUGACAAUAUGGAGCAAUCAAAAGGGCAGUCAACAAAGUUUCAUACUAGUGUCCUCUCACUGCUAACGAUAACUCUGCUCUGGACCAGACGGCAUCGUGUGCAUUUAUUGUAUCGUUUCCUGGGCCUGGGCCCAAAGGAAGACAUUUCCUAGUCUUCUUUGUGGUAAGGUGAACAGUGAGACUGAGUUCUGAUCAACAGGAUGUAAAUGGAGGUGACGCACUUUGGCAGAGACCAUAGAUGACACUUUUUGAGAAGGCAAAACAGUAAGAUGGAAGCAACCUGGAUCCUUGAACAAACGUGUCUCAAGAGUCACCCUGACUUACUUCAGAAAUUGGUGUGAGAAAUAAAUCUUGUGGUAUAAAACCA
rnacentral:lncRNA from 1 species